rnacentral:rRNA from 1 species
CCUACGGGAGGCAGCAGUAGGGAAUAUUGGUCAAUGGACGAAAGUCUGAACCAGCCAUGCCGCGUGCAGGAGGAAGGCGUCUGCGUUGUAAACUGCUUUUGUACGGGAAGAAUAUUCCGUUUGCGAACGGAUUUGACGGUACCGUAAGAAUAAGGAUCGGCUAACUACGUGCCAGCAGCCGCGGUAAUACGUAGGAUCCAAGCGUUGUCCGGAUUUAUUGGGUUUAAAGGGUGCGCAGGCGGCCUGAUAAGUCAGUGGUGAAAGCCCGUUGCUUAACAACGGAAUUGCCAUUGAUACUGUCGGGCUUGAGUACAGUUGAGGUUGGCGGAAUGUAUCAUGUAGCGGUGAAAUGCUUAGAUAUGAUACAGAACACCGAUUGCGAAGGCAGCUGACUAAGCUGUCACUGACGCUCAGGCACGAAAGCGUGGGGAUCGAACAGGAUUAGAUACCCUGGUAGUCCACGCUGUAAACGUUGCUAACUCGAUGUUGGCGAUAUACAGUCAGCGUCCAAGCGAAAGCGUUAAGUUAUCCACCUGGGGAGUACGCCGGCAACGGUGAAACUCAAAGGAAUUGACGG